UACGUAGGGUGCAAGCGUUAUCCGGAAUUAUUGGGCGUAAAGAGCUCGUAGGCGGUUUGUCGCGUCUGCUGUGAAAACUGGGGGCUCAACCCCCAGCCUGCAGUGGGUACGGGCAGACUAGAGUGCGGUAGGGGAGAUUGGAAUUCCUGGUGUAGCGGUGGAAUGCGCAGAUAUCAGGAAGAACACCCGUGGCGAAAGCGGCUCUCUGGAACGGUACUGACGCUGAGACGCGAAAGCGUGGGGAGCGAACAGG
rnacentral:rRNA from 1 species